rnacentral:rRNA from 1 species
UACGAAGGGGGCUAGCGUUGCUCGGAAUGACUGGGCGUAAAGGGCGCGUAGACGGAUGACACAGUCAGAUGUGAAAUUCCCGGGCUUAACCUGGGGGCUGCAUUUGAUACGUGUUGUCUAGAGUGAGGAAGAGGGUUGUGGAAUUCCCAGUGUAGAGGUGAAAUUCGUAGAUAUUGGGAAGAACACCGGUGGCGAAGGCGGCAACCUGGUCCUUGACUGACGCUGAGGCGCGAAAGCGUGGGGAGCAAACAGG